rnacentral:rRNA from 1 species
AACGAACGCUGGCGGCAUGCCUAACACAUGCAAGUCGAACGAGACCUUCGGGUCUAGUGGCGCACGGGUGCGUAACGCGUGGGAACCUGCCCUUAGGUUCGGAAUAACUCCCCGAAAGGGGUGCUAAUACCGGAUAAUGUCUUCGGACCAAAGAUUUAUCGCCUUUGGAUGGGCCCGCGUUGGAUUAGCUAGUUGGUAGGGUAAAAGCCUACCAAGGCGACGAUCCAUAGCUGGUCUGAGAGGAUGAUCAGCCACACUGGGACUGAGACACGGCCCAGACCACGACGGGAGGCAGCAGUGGGGAGGAGGAGAGAAGGGGCGAAGGUUGAAGCAAGUCAUGCCGCGGGAGGGAUGAAGGCGGUAGGGUGGUAAUGCCCUGUGACACGGGACGAGAAGGACAGUACCGGGAGAAUAAGCACCGGCUAACUACGUG